GACGAACGCUGGCGGCGUGCUUAACACAUGCAAGUCGAGCGGUAAGGCCCUUUUGGGGGUACACGAGCGGCGAACGGGUGAGUAACACGUGGGUGACCUGCCCUCAGCUCUGGGAUAAGCCUGGGAAACUGGGUCUAAUACUGGAUAUGACCUUUCCUCGCAUGGGGUUGGGUGGAAAGUUUUUCGGCUGGGGAUGGGCCCGCGGCCUAUCAGCUUGUUGGUGGGGUGAUGGCCUACCAAGGCGACGACGGGUAGCCGGCCUGAGAGGGCGACCGGCCACACUGGGACUGAGACACGGCCCAGACUCCUACGGGAGGCAGCAGUGGGGAAUAUUGCGCAAUGGGCGGAAGCCUGACGCAGCGACGCCGCGUGGGGGAUGACGGCCUUCGGUUGUAA
rnacentral:rRNA from 1 species